rnacentral:tRNA from 1 species
AAAAUCCGUCGAUUUUUAAUCUGGGCAAGUCCCUCUAUCCCCA